GGUGAUGAGAGUCAGAAAGGUUUCGCUCACUGGACUGAACCCCCGUGAUGUCACUUCCUCUUGGCUGUCUGAC
rnacentral:snoRNA from 11 species